rnacentral:rRNA from 1 species
UACGGAGGAUGCAAGCGUUAUCCGGAAUUAUUAGGCGUAAAGCGUCCGCAGGCGGCACUUCAAGUCUGUCGUCAAAGACCGGGGCUUAACCCUGGAAAGGCGAUGGAAACUGAAAGGCUAGAGAGAGGUAGGGGUAGAGGGAAUUCCCAGUGUAGCGGUGAAAUGCGUAGAGAUUGGGAAGAACAUCGGUGGCGAAAGCGCUCUACUGGACCUCAUCUGACGCUCAGGGACGAAAGCUAGGGGAGCGAAUGGG